rnacentral:misc_RNA from 1 species
CCGAGUUUACCAACUCCCAAACCCCAUGUGAACAUACCGUUUUCCCGUUGCUUCGGCGGUGCCGCCCCGGGCGCGGGCCUUCUCGAAGGCCGCCAGCCCCGGAACCAGGCGCCCGCCGGGGGACCCCAAAACUCCUCUGUAUUCUCUAGCGGCUUCCUCUGAGUUGCGCUCUCCGAGCGGGACAAAACCAAAUCAAUCA